GGACUCAGGUGAAGUUCUCCUCUGGGCAUCCCCAAUCUUGGAAUUAGUUGAUCACCAGAAAGAAGAGAAAUCAUUGAGUCUAGAUGUUUACAAAGUGAAGUAGAGGAAAGGAGAGAAGGAACAAGUUUUAAGUCUGUAAGGAGAGGAGAAUGUGCAAUUAACUGAGCACCAUAAUAUGGGCUGCCAUCUAUGGGGUCGCACAGAGUCGGACACAACUGAAGCGACUUAGCAGCAGCAGCAGCAUUAUAUUCUAGGAGUCUUAGGUAAUCAUAUUAGUUAUCCCUCCCAGCAGUCUGGUAAGCAAGGUAGUUUUAUGAUGCCAUUUUUCAGAUGAGGAGGAUGAGGCACAGAGCGUUUUUUUUUAUGACUGAAUUUUUAUUGUGGUUUAAAUUUUCGUUUUGUUAACUAAAAACAUGGCGUGGGUAUCAGAUAAGACCAUCAUAUCCCUUCUUGCAGUGAGUCCAUCUUAUUGUUUCCCAAGGGUUGAGUAAUAUGGCCAUCAGCAGCAAAAAGGCAUACUGGUGGAAUUUAAGGGUAUGGGAUCCCUUUCACUAGCAGCCUGAAGCCUUCCAUCACAUUUUCUUCUGACCCACCCAGUUCCUGAAGUUCUUCCUGUUUAUCAGGAAGCAGAUUGGAGCUGGAAGGCAGGGAGAGGUGAAUAAGCCAAAGUUAAGCUGGAAUGAUGAAACUCCAAUGUGGACAACUUGGAGUGCAAAGGCUUGGAGCUGGAUGAGGUGCCCUCCCUCUUCAGUGCUCAGCUUCCAGGCGGGAAGGCAGAGAGGUCAAGGGUGAGAGACUGCCUCAGGGAAGGACUCAGUAUCUUCAUGUCAAACUUGAAGAGACCAAAUUGACCAGGGUCAGGCAAGACAGGCUUGGAAUGCUUUCCCAUCUCAAGCAGCAGUGACAGCAGAAAAGAAUGAAAGGCUAUGGAAACAAGCCCUGAGAAGAGGAAGUAGCUUUUGGACAAGAGUUCCUUCAUCUCAGCAUUUUUCAUGGAUUUCAAAUAUUUCAAGAAUAAUAUUUUUAUUUGCACAUUCAUCUUGAAAAUAAAAGUUAUCUAGUCUCAAAAUGGAACUGAUUAAAGCACACUUGGAAGUUUUUAUUACUAUUUUAUAUUUCUAGUAAGUACAGUGGUUACCACCUCCCCAGCCCCCACUACUCAGAUAUUAUAAGCAUAUUCUGAAGUAUUGAAAAUUAUCUCCCCAACAAAAUUAUCUUAUCC
ensembl:lncRNA